GUCUCCGGUGGGGGAGCAGUCUCUUCUUGUAUCUACUUGGUAGAUACACCCUGCUGCUCUUUUAGGACUACUGAGGCCUCCCUGUUUGUCUGGCACCAUCCAGGUUACACUCAGGAACCCUCUCCAGCCCAGAAGACAGACACAGCUGAUGGGCCUAUUUCUCAUGGGCCUUGGCCAAAUUCCCACAAGGAGAGAAAACAAGAUGUACUGUUCUGAUCCAAAAUUAAUACGCACUGGAAUGGCCUAAAAGAGAAUUUCACCAGACAUACAGAGAGAGGCCUUACUUCCAGGAAUGUGAGCCCACACAUCACAGCCAAGGUACUGCUCAGGGCCUUACACGGAGAGGCAAGCACUCUACCACUGAGAUACACUCCGAGCAGAGCCAGACCUACCAUGAAUGAACCGGUGAAUGUGGGACCAUGCUACAUUUGACAUGGCUGGACUUGAAACUCAUUGAGAUCCCCUGCUUUUGCCUCCUAAGUGGUGGGAUUAAAGGCAUGCAUCACCUCGCUUGGCUUCAAGGACAACUUCAAAUCCCUCAUCUUCCUGCUUCUAUCUCCCGGGAGUGCUAGAAUCCUAGACGGGCUCCACCCUUUCUAGCUUAUGUGAUGCCAGGGCUUCCACGUGCUAGGUAAGUACUCUACGUAUACUUUUAUUUUCCAAGGAGACUGUGAUGGUUUGUAUAUUCUUGCACCAGGGA